CUGCACAGGUAUCACAACGGGGUGGUGGCGCAGUUGGCUAGCGCGUAGGUCUCAUAGCUGUUGAGUAAUCCUGAGGUCGAGAGUUCGAGCCUCUCUCACCCCAAAUAAAUUGGCCAGAACGAUGAUGAAAUGCUCAGUGACACAUGGGUCGUCACGACUUGUCAUCUUCGCAGAUGAUUCGAGCACCUCUGAGCUUUGGCACAAUUCUCUUUUUUUUUUCCCUACUCAGCUGCCCGCUACCGCUGCACUCUUCACGAUCGCUGCGCCAUCACCUCCUUCUCCGCUCCCAAAACCUAACCCCUACCCCUCUCCUCCAGCGAGGAUCCAGCUGCGAUGCGCCCCUUUGCCGGACCAGGAGGGGUGGAGGAGGAGGCGGUGGGCUUCGUCACCGGUAAGAGGAAGGCCACCGAGGUAGCCCACGCGCAGGUUCGAAUUCUUCUGAAACUACCAAGUAGCUACCCAGUGCAAUUUUAGCCCCAGUUAGCUAAUUUUGUGUUUGGGUUGAGUGUGCUCAGCACGUAUUAUGGUUAGGUUCUGGAGAAAUAUUGUUCAGAAAGGGGAUACGGUGGUUGAUACCACAUGCGAGAAUGGCCGUGGCACACUCACUCUGCUUAAGAUGGUGGCCGAUGAAGCAGGCCACGGGCAUGUCCGCAUGUUUAUGGGAUAGACAUUCAAGAUUCUGCGAUAGAGAGUACUUCCUCAUUUCUGAAAAUGGCUGUGGAUGAGGAACAUUAGGUGUGGAUUUGAACUAUGAAGAUUGUACUUUUAAUUUCCCCCGAAGAAGGAAAGAACAAAAAAUGAAUCAAUAUAACAAGGAGAAGGCAUUCACUGAUUUUAGAUGUUGGUGAGCAGUGCUUUGGUUGCUGCAAAUCAUGCAACUUGAUCGACAGUUCAAUAACUCCAUUUCCACCGAUUGUCUGCAUGUUUCUAGCAUGGCAUGUGAUGGCUAUUUCGCAGUAUCUGCACGCACUGUCUAGUUGGCCUACAGUCAAUUUCUGCUCACAUGUGUCUAGUUUUUGCCAGAGAGUUCUGACCUUUGUUGUAAAUCCAUCAAGGCUGGUAUCCCUGUUCUCGCUUCAGUAAUGCAAAUCUCCAUGCAGUACUUCUUUUUAACAGACAUGACUAUUUCCACAGUGGUAAGCUGUGGGCUUAGGAUAUGAUGGACAUUUGGACAUGAUUAUUUACUGAAAUUUUGCAAUUGUGCAGGGUUGAAUUAUAGUAUUUAAGUUUCAUAUUUGGUUGAACACCAUGAUGUAUCCUUGUCUGUUCACCAUGGAUUCAUUGUAAGGCCUGGAGGAACAGUGGAAUGUUAAUGCGGACACUAUAGGAAAUGGCAAUAUUUGCACCGCCUAAAAGCAGUAAAGAUUUGGUUCUCAGGAUCAAAAAAAGGUCUCUGCACUUGUCCUACAACCUAUACAAUCCACUAUUACUUUACAUGCAUUUUAGAAGCUGCAAACAGCAACCUGCUGAAUAACUCCUGCAGAUGGUGCCACACAACUUGCAUAGAUACAUGGCGAU